GUAAAUUAUAAAUCUGUGUACAAAAAAAUUGAAGUACGGAACAGCACAGGCUUUGAGGUACUUUGUAAUGGUAGUUGGACAGCGUCUCGAAUUGUAUACAAUACCAGCUCUUCUGUGUUCUUAUCGGCCCGCUGUGAUCCGGACAAAGUUAGAUAUGCCUGGUCUGACUAUCCCUGCGAGAAACUGAAGUGUGCUGUUUACAGUGGAGGACUACCUUCUCCACCAUUUAUUAUGGAUGGUCCUUUU